UGAAAGUUAAAGCUGCGACUCAAAUCGUUCAGUCAGUCCAGUCUGUUUUAUGUGGUUUAGUUUAGGUUAGGAUUUGUGAGGAAAAAUAUUUUUUCGUACGGCGUGCAGAGAUGUCUUGGGAUUUUAUUGUACCGGUUUUUUUUCGACCAUUUCCUGAAGUCUGGUGCUGUUAACCAGUAUGUGGUUCCGGAUGUGCUGUCUGUCUACUAAACAAGGUUAAACUAUAUUUCCCACAAUGUAUCACAGUGCUCUAUUUUCAGUGGCCAGAGGCCUGUCUGUUUCUCUGUCGACCCUGCUCCUGUCAGGCUUCUUAUCAGCCGCGGACCGCAAACAGCAGCUCAGUGAUGUGAAGAUGAAAGUUUUCUUUGCAAACUCACAGAAACCAUUGAGAGUGACUCAUACAAGGAAACUAUCGUCAUGGCACCCAGCAAGCCUGCAAUAGGACGCUGAACAAGAGAAAGUUCUUCAGUGUUUGACUCAACUGCUGCAGCUGGACACUCGCACAAUGUGGAGUCUGUCUCUAGUGGAAGAGGAGUUUGUCAGCUGUUUGACAUGCUGUUGCUAAAACUCCUGGAAAACCCCACCAUACGCCACGUGAAGAGCGAGUCCACCAGAGAUGCCAUCAUUCAUGUACUAGGAAUCACGGUGAAGAAAUACAAUCACAUGUUGGAGAGAUUGGUCAGAAGUCAAGUGAGGAACUAGCCAGAGAAGGUUCAGGUGUGAAGCUUUUUGUCUGAACCUAGUACUCUGGAAUCCGAAACCAUGAUCCCAAACAUCAGUGUUCUCCUUACACACCUGGAUGGAGAGAGUCCGAGUCUGCAGGUGGCUGUGUGUGAGGGUUUUGUCUGGUGAUGAGCUGGAUGAUUCUGCUCAUGCAAGCCGAGAUUGUUUCCUGGAAAUGCUGCAGGAGCACAUCCAUGAUGCCCACUCACAUGUCCGAGCACAUGUGCUUCAGUACUGAGAAGGAGGUGGUUCUCCGUAAUUUGGACAUGCUAUGGGAGAGAAGGUUGCAGAAUAUUAUUUGCUGGCUCAAGACACAUUUAUCACCAUCGCUAACAUAACAGACCAUGUGAGGGAUAACGCAAUUUACAACCUGCUGCCAGACAUCAUCAGCUGAUUAUCUGAUCCUGAAUGUGGAAUGAAGGAGGGGGACUUCAACACCAUUAUGAAAUAACUCCUCUCCUACAUCACUAAAGAGAGACCGAGAGUUUAGUGGAGAAGCUCUGCCAAUGAUUCAGAACCGCAAAGGCGUGACAAACCGAACUUAGAUGACAUUGACCUCAUAACCCCAAGGAAAUCUUGCUCUCAUCCCAAACCUGCCAUCGCCUUCACCAGUGAUGAGGAAGAGGAUGCUGUCAUGGCUGAGAGUGAGAUGCCCAAAGUGACAACACCCAUCGCUCGCAUGUGACACGCAUUUUUUUAAAUACCUCUAUGUAAUUUGGUUUUAGACCGAUGAGGUCUGUGACUGUAACUUUUAAUUGUUUAAUGUUUUAGUUGCCAUCAAAUAUGCUAUAUCGGUGUCUGUAGGUUUUUAUUAAACUUUUUCCAUGGAGCUGAAUUGUGUUUUUGGGCAGCUUUUAUUGCAGCCCAAGAUUGUUGCAACGAAAAGGGAAAAAAACGAUGAUUAAAGGGCCUGAGUCUAAAAAUGAGAUGCUGAUCCGUGUGAAAGUUUCAUUUGUGUCGCUGCCUAAUGUAGGGUAAGAGAAACUACCUCAGUUGCUUUAGUUUACAAUGUCUAGGCCACAUUUAAAACCUUGCAAUGAAUAUGUGCUUUGCAAAGACUCUGUCCGAAAAUCUCCCAGAAGCAUGAACUGCAUGAGUGAGGCUGGUGGCUGCAAAUGUGCAGCUUUUAGCAUCUGCAACUUCUGUGAUUAUGAGAGCAGACGGGUUUACAACAUACCAGUUCCUCAACAGUUUAAUUUCACCAAAGAUGUGUUUGAUUUACUUUAAACUGGAUAACACACAUUGUACAUUAACACUGAAUAAACGUCUAAAAAAAAAGGUUAAAACUUUGACUGGAUAAUACUGCUGGGGAAACAGCACUCUGGACCAACCUAAAGUUGAAGUGUGUAAUUUUUUUU